AUGGCGAGCAAGGCGGACUUGGCCGAGUCCAUGCUUUCCUGGUUAGGGAGAGCCUCCAACACAAGAAGUUGUUUGUGUCUUCGUCCGAGCCAAUUUCAGUUACAAAUCCCCGAGUUAAGCUACAUGUGGCUAACAACAUUGCAUAUGAAGCUCUCGUCUUUGACUAUAAGUUUGACAUGUGGUAAGCCACCGCCUUCCUCUCCUGAGCUUUCUCUUGUGCUCUUUGUGUCCACGCCAUGGCCAUCUUGCCAUGCUAGGUUCUACCCUGUCCAUGGAAAUUUCUAUGAUUGGGCUUGUGGUGAUGGUCUGCUAUGUCACUGUUUCACACAAUGCACGGGCAUAAUAGAGAGAGAGAGAGAGCAUCAUGACUUCCAUGGCUUGAACUAUUUUGCUGAUAUCCUGGAAAAAUUGAUGGUUGAUCGAGGGUCGAAUAAUGGACGUAACACAGCUGCUAGAGAAGAGAUUAUAAUAUGGAAAACAGCAGAUGAGGAGGAAGCUGAAGUUGGUACAUCAAGUGAGCAAGAGUUCCAGACCCAGACAAGAAAAGUAGCUCAAACCUUCUACUGUCGCAGUCGCUGUAGUAGAGCAAUCGCUGCCUCAAACUUCAGAGAAGAUGGGCAUGAAUGGAUGUUUUGGUUGCAGGUUACACCAAGAACAAGUGCCUCAGAUCAUUCAUUUUUCAGGCAGCGGAAGGAUCACUCCCACUCCCCUCGCGUCGCCCACCUGAGGGCGACUCGAGGGUACCCUCGCCCCAUCCGCCGUGACCACCCCUCUAAGGAUCUCACCGCCUCGACCAAAAUAAUUUCGAUUGCAGGAGCUGAUUUUUUGGUGUUCAGACAUUCAGAGAUUGCUGGAAGUGUUGCACUUCCUUCAUUUGGGGAGCACAAGACUUCAGUUGUCGAAAUGGCUACAACUAAUUGCAAGUAUAUAAACAAGGGAGCGUUCUAUGAUGUGACGUGA
rnacentral:rRNA from 1 species